GACGACUAUAAAUACUAUAUUGGUACUAUAGCAGAGCGAUCCCUUUUAGUGGAAAAUAGGAAACAACACGUGCCGUUUAUGACUAUCGUUUCGGAAAAAAAUGAAUGGGGCGAAAUCGAAUGAAAUUAAGAGCAGAGGAAUUUGUCUUUCGGCAGAUAUUCGACAGUUAAUCUAGCAAAGGUCGUAUCCAAGGGAGGAAUCCAAGGGAUUUGGACACCCUUCGAAAUUUCUCCAAUGUUAACAUCAGUAUAAAUAUUUUCAAAAUAAUAAAUGGGCCACUUUUAAAUUUCA